GCGUGAACACUAGCCUGUUGCUGUUUGUUACUGUCAAAAUUUUUCGGUUAAAUCUGUUUAUUUAUGUGACCCAACAUUUAUUAUCAAAUUGAAACCAACAAACACACCCACAUGUGGUAAACAUAUUUUUUUUGUUGUUUUUAAUGAGAUGACCCUAUCUGUUUGAUGAAUCCAUUUUUUACGGCCAUUUGGACACGCACACACAUCUGGUAAACAUAUGUUUUUGGGUGGCUAAAUCUCUACAGUUUAUAUUAGAAACAAAAAAAAGGAUUGAAUGUCAACCGAAACCAUGAUCUGAUGACCUUAAGAUAUUGCACAUCAAUCCUUGUUUUUGUGAUAUCUUUCUAAAUACAACUCACAUCUCUGUUCAUCAUCUUUAACAAAGGACAAUUAUUUAAUCUUUGGACAACGAGAAAAAUAAACGGAAUCUUUCACAUUUUACAUAUGGUCAUGAUCAAACAACAUCAUAAUCAUCAUUAUCUUUCGUUUCUUUCUGUGUGUAUGUGUGUCGAACUUUGACAUUGUCAAAUUUUACAUAUUUUUAUCUUUCAAAAAAAGAUAAUAAUCCAGACCAUUUUAGCAACGAAAAAAUAUUGAAACUAAUUUCAUACAACACUUGUUUCAUUUUGCAAUCUGUUUUUUGUCAUUUGUUAUAUACAACAGUAGCCACCAUUAUCUUCUUGUUUAUGUUUAUUGUUAUCAACAUUAUCAUCACGUGGUUGUUGACAACAAAUGAACAUAUCAUAGUUUGUCGAUGUAUAUAUAUAGAUAAGAAUAUUAUCGAACGAAAAAAAAAUUACAUCUUGUUCGUAGUGAUUGA